CCUACGGGUGGCAGCAGUGAGGAAUAUUGGUCAAUGGGCGCGAGCCUGAACCAGCCAAGUAGCGUGAAGGAUGACUGCCCUAUGGGUUGUAAACUUCUUUUAUAUGGGAAUAAAAUGUUCCACGUGUGGGAUUUUGUAUGUACCAUAUGAAUAAGGAUCGGCUAACGCCGUGCCAGCAGCCGCGGUAAUACGGAGGGUCCGAGCGUUAUCCGGAUUUAUUGGGUUUAAAGGGAGCGUAGGUGGAUUGUUAAGUCAGUUGUGAAAGUUUGCGGCUCAACCGUAAAAUUGCAGUUGAAACUGGCAAUCUUGAGUACAGGAGAGGUGGGCGGAAUUCGUGGUGUAGCGGUGAAAUGCUUAGAUAUCACGAAGAACUCCGAUUGCGAAGGCAGCUCACUGGACUGAAACUGACACUGAGGCUCGAAAGUGUGGGUAUCAAACAGGAUUAGAUACCCCAGUAGUC
rnacentral:rRNA from 1 species